UGCUUAGUACGGCGAGUGAGCGGCAAAAGCUCAAAUUUGAAAUCUGGUACCUUCGGUGCCCGAGUUGUAAUUUGGAGAGGGCAACUUUGGGGCCGUUCCUUGUCUAUGUUCCUUGGAACAGGACGUCAUAGAGGGUGAGAAUCCCGUGUGGCGAGGAGUGCGGUUCUUUGUAAAGUGCCUUCGAAGAGUCGAGUUGUUUGGGAAUGCAGCUCUAAGUGGGUGGUAAAUUCCAUCUAAAGCUAAAUAUUGGCGAGAGACCGAUAGCGAACAAGUACAGUGAUGGAAAGAUGAAAAGAACUUUGAAAAGAGAGUGAAAAAGUACGUGAAAUUGUUGAAAGGGAAGGGCAUUUGAUCAGACAUGGUGUUUUGUGCCCUCUGCUCCUUGUGGGUAGGGGAAUCUCGCAUUUCACUGGGCCAGCAUCAGUUUUGGUGGCAGGAUAAAUCCAUAGGAAUGUAGCUUGCCUCGGUAAGUAUUAUAGCCUGUGGGAAUACUGCCAGCUGGGACUGAGGACUGCGACGUAAGUCAAGGAUGCUGGCAUAAUGGUUAUAUGCCGCCCGUCUGAAAAACCGGGACCAAAAAAACCC
rnacentral:rRNA from 1 species